rnacentral:lncRNA from 1 species
GUGUGUGGGGAAGGACAGAGUCUCGCUCUGUUGCCAGUCUCGCUCUGUUGCCAUGGCGUGAUCUCAGCUCACUGCAACCUCCACCUCCUGGGUUCAAGCGAUUCUACUGACUCAGCCUCCUGAGUAGCUUGGAUUACAGGUGCCCGCCACCAUGCCCGGCUAAUUUUUUAUAUUUUUAGUAGAGAUGGGGUUUCAUCAUGUUAGCCAGGAUGGUCUCAAUCACCUGACCUCGUGAUCUGCCUGCCUCAGCCUCCCAAAGUGCUGGGAUUACAGGCGUGAGCCACCGUGCCCGACCCUAAUUUUUGUAUUUUUAGUAGAGAUGGACUUUCACCAUGUUGGCCAGGCUGACCUUGAACUCCUGGCCUCAGGUGAUCUGCUCACCUCAGCCUCCCAAAGUGCUGGAUUACAGGCAUGAGCCACCAUGCACAGCUAAGAUUGUCUUUUUCUUGACUUAAAGAAUUAUGGACAGUAAACCUUUGCCUGUUUAUAUGUGCUGCAAAUGUUUUUUCCUGGUCUGCCUUUUAUGUUUUAUACUUGUUAAUGAAAUCUUCCACCAACUGGCAAUUUUCAACUGGUCAAAUUUGUAAAUUUUAUCCUCCCUUUUUGGCCUCUGGUUUCAAGUAUAUUAAAAAGUCUUUCCCUAUCUUUGUGAUUAUAAACAUAUUUUUCUGGCGGGGUGCAGUGGCUCAUGUCUGUAAUCCCAGCACUUUGGGAGGCUGAGGUGGGCAGAUCACUUGAGGCCAGGAGUUUGAGACCAGCCUGGCCAACACUGGGAAACCCUGUCUCUACUAAACAAACAAAAA